rnacentral:rRNA from 1 species
CAGGAGGGAGUAACGGUUGGAAACGGCCGCUAAUAACCCCAUAUGCCGCGAGGUGAAAUGAAUUUACGCCUGAGGAUGAGCUCGCGUCUGAUUAGCUAGUUGGUUGUAGGUAAGUGGCUCACCAAGGCAUCGAUCAGUAGCUGGUCUGAGAGGAUGAUCAGCCACACUGGGACGUGAGACACGGCCCAGACUCCUACGGGAGGCAGCAGUGGGGAAUUUUCCGCAAUGGGCGAAAGCCUGACGGAGCAACGCCGCGUGAGGGAUGAAGGCCUCUGGGCUGUAAACCUCUUUUAUCAAGGAAGAAGAUCUGACGGUACUUGAUGAAUAAGCCACGGCUAAUUCCGUG